GACGAACGCUGGCGGCGUGCCUAAUACAUGCAAGUUGAGCGCUGAAGGUUGGUACUUGUACCGACUGGCUGAGCAGCGAACGGGUGAGUAACGCGUGGGGAAUCUGCCUUUGAGCGGGGGACAACAUUUGGAAACGAAUGCUAAUACCGCAUAAAAACUUUAAACACAAGUUUUAAGUUUGAAAGAUGCAAUUGCAUCACUCAAAGAUGAUCCCGCGUUGUAUUAGCUAGUUGGUGAGGUAAAGGCUCACCAAGGCGAUGAUACAUAGCCGACCUGAGAGGGUGAUCGGCCACAUUGGGACUGAGACACGGCCCAAACGCCUACGGGAGGCAGCAGUAGGGAAUCUUCGGCAAGGGACGAAAGUCUGACCGAGCAACGCCGCGUGAGUGAAGAAGGGUUUCGGAUCGUAAAACUCUGUUGGUAGAGAAGAACGUUGGUGAGAGUGGAAAGCUCAUCAAGUGACGGUAACUACCCAGAAAGGGACGGCUAACUACGUG
rnacentral:rRNA from 1 species